AUGCCUACAAUACCACUACUACCAGUGGUCAAAUGGCUAUGGAAGACAUGCUGUCAGUUAAAACAUAAUAUCUUCUUUUGGCUUCUAGCACAUGACAGGUUAAAUACAGGAACCCUCUUACUAUGCAAAAAUUUCUUUAUACAGGAUUACACAUGUGUCUUUUACAGCAUGCAAACUCUUGAAACAAGAGACCACCUUUUCUUCCACUGCCCAUUUGCAAAAAUUUCCUGGAACUACAUCUAUCCCUCUUGAACUCCCACCGACCUAGGUCUUCAGGAAGAGAUUGAUCAGCUGGAAAUACAAAUCAACCUGCCUUUCGCCUUGGAAAUCAUCAUUCUGGUGACUUGGGCUAUAUGGAACACAAGGAAUGAUUUCAUCUUCACACAGAUUAGCCCGAGUUUGUAUGCUUGCAUGAGAAAUCUCAAGGAUGAAAUCAAAUGGCUCGUUUACAGAACCAAGAAGAAAGAAUAUAGUAGGCUAGAGACUAGGUCAAAGCUUUCUUGUAACUAG
rnacentral:rRNA from 1 species